GGCUUUGUAGUGUAGUGGUUAUCACUUGAGAUUUUGAUGUGGUUUGAUGCGCUUACAAGUUCUCAAAACCCAGGUUCGAACCCUGGCAAGGCCU